rnacentral:rRNA from 1 species
CUGGCCGUAAACGAUGAAUGCUAGGUGUGGGCAUCGAGAGGUGUCCGUGCCGGAGCUAACGCGAUAAGCAUUCCGCCUGGGGAGUACGAUCGCAAGAUUGAAACUCAAAGGAAUUGACGGGGGCCCGCACAAGCGGUGGAGCACGUGGUUUAAUUCGAUGCAAACCGAAGAACCUUACCUGGGUUUGACAUGUACGUAGUAGGGAGCUGAAAGGCGACUGACGAAGGAUUCGUCCGGAGAGCGUACACAGGUGC